CAUAACGGCGAUAGCACGUUAAACCAGUUCCCCAUAGAUCAUUGAAGUUAAGCAACGUUGCGCGUGGUUCGUAUCCGGAUGGGUGACCAUCUGGGCAAUCGCGUGCUGCUGGCU
rfam:Asian citrus Psyllid, Diaphorina citri - Florida Strain, whole genome shotgun sequence.